rnacentral:rRNA from 1 species
AGCAGCCGCGGUAAUUCCAGCUCCAAUAGCGUAUAUUAAAGUUGUUGCAGUUAAAAAGCUCGUAGUUGAAUUUCGGAAUCAAUUUGUAGGUCGUGCCUCGGUACGUACUGGUAUUAUUGGUUUCUACCUUCUGAAGAACCUUGAUGUCAUUAAUUUGGUGUCUUGGGGAAUCAGGACUGUUACUUUGAAAAAAUUAGAGUGUUUAAAGCAAGCAUACGCUUGAAUACAUUAGCAUGGAAUAAUGAAAUAGGACGUUUGAUUCUAUUUUGUUGGUUUCUAGGAUCGACGUAAUGAUUAAUAGGGAUAGUUGGGGGCAUUAGUAUUCAAUUGUCAGAGGUGAAAUUCUUGGAUUUAUUGAAGACUAACUACUGCGAAAGCAUUUGCCAAGGAUGUUUUCAUUAAUCAAGAACGAAAGUUAGGGGAUCGAAGACGAUCAGAUACCGUCGUAGU